CUACGGGCGGCAGCAGUGGGGAAUAUUGGACAAUGGGCGAAAGCCUGAUCCAGCCAUGCCGCGUGUGUGAAGAAGGCCUUCGGGUUGUAAAGCACUUUCAGUGGGGAAGAAAGCCUUGGGGCUAAUACCCUCGAGGAAGGACAUCACCCACAGAAGAAGCACCGGCUAACUCCGUGCCAGCAGCCGCGGUAAUACGGAGGGUGCGAGCGUUAAUCGGAAUUACUGGGCGUAAAGCGCGCGUAGGCGGUCUGAUAAGCCGGUUGUGAAGCCCCGGGCUCAACCUGGGAACGGCAUCCGGAACUGUCAGGCUAGAGUGCAGGAGAGGAAGGUAGAAUUCCCGGUGUAGCGGUGAAAUGCGUAGAGAUCGGGAGGAAUACCAGUGGCGAAGGCGGCCUUCUGGACUGACACUGACGCUGAGGUGCGAAAGCGUGGGUAGCAAACAGGAUUAGAUACCCCUGUAGUC
rnacentral:rRNA from 1 species